CACCAUCUGUAAAGAAGGACUCCCCUAAGCUCUCAAUAAUAAGCACCAAUGCAAAGAAAUAACCUUUCUUCUCUUCUGGGAUCUUUAACUUCCUGGAGAUCUUCUUUUAUACCUCUGUCAUCCAGCAAUUUUCUGGUUUCUCCAUUUUGUCUCCAUCUUCCUUAAAGUGCAGUGACCCAAAUGGCAGAUGACGUUCCUGAUGAGGCCUAAAGAACCGCUCAGGUCCUACUUCUAAGUGGGGCUCUGUGCGCAGGAGACUUUGAAGGACCCCUUGAGCUGAAGCAGCCAAAUAAAAUUCCUGGGUCCGAUGCCUUGUGAAAUUGAAUGAUAUCUCCUGCCCGUUUUGAAUGCUGCUUGCUUCGUAGUGACAAAGGGACUGGAGGCUGGAGGCUGGAGGCUGGAGGCUGGAGGCUGGAGGUGUGGACCUGGAGUGGAUGCAGUGCAACCCAAGUUAGAAACAGCCAGUGUUCUCCUCUGGAAGCUGGCCAGGACCGCAGGGGUUGAAGCAACACCAGAGCAUGGAUAGGAUGAGCUGGCUGGUACUGAGGUGAUGGCAAGGAAGGCAAUAGAUUUCUCCUCCUCCUUCUCAUGGUCGGGACUAUGUAGGAGGGAGCUCUAUGGCAAGAGCGCCUGCUUCUCUGCAGAGACCAAUGCACUCAGCUCUCUAGCUCAUGGGGAGCAACAGGGCUGACCUUCUCUUUGUGCUAAUCUCUGGCUCAGGGAGGAUCAUGAGGAGAAAAACUUCUGCUCUGACUUGGUAGGGACAUCCCAAGCUCCAAUGUAAGACAUACUUUUCAGUUGUUUGCAGGGUACUUCUAAUUUAAACUUCCCAUUUCAAUGCAAUUCCUAGUCCAAGGCCUUGUGGAAGAGAGUGGCAAAAUAGUUAACUAUUUUCUGAAAAAAGUUAGAAAGUCUCAUUGAUCCAUAUUCAGUAAUGUGAAAUUCCAGAGUGGCUUCAGAGACCAGUUGUUGCCAGCAGGAACGGAGUUUGCCUCAUCUACUUUGCCCUACAAAGGUCAGAUAUUUAGCCUGAGAUGGUCAUUCAAGAUCCCUCUAUGAUCAGUGGAGAAACAAAGAUUAAAUCAUUUUCCCCCAGAAGCCCGAAUCUAUCCCAGCAGCAACAGAAAUCAGCUUAGAUCAGACAUUUACACCACCUCAUCCAAAAUUUAACUCAAUAGAAAACUACAAUCACUGUGACUGCAGGGCUAGAAUCAGAUAUCAGCUCUACUAGGAACUUGCAGAUAUAUGUAGCAAUUGACAAGAUAUAGUAAAAAAUACGAAAUUAUCUGACGUCCUGGGAGCAGCCACUACCACACAAAAUGGCAUUGCAGCCAUGUACAGUGCAAGACAAUGCAACUAACAGUGAUAUUCCAGGAGGCCCCAGGAGUACACUAGGUUAUUGACAUACAUAAGAGAAAGCAAUAAGGACACAGAGUCAUCUGUGUUGCUUGAGAAGAUCACUGACAGGCAUGGACCGCAGCAGAAUUACGUGGCUAAGCCUCAGAAGACGGCACAGAGGGAAAGGGGUUCUCACAAGUCCAUGUGAUACGGCAAGGGGAACAAACAGUAUUGAAACAUUUUUAUUUGGUAGUAUUGAAAUGUGCUAGUGUAAAUUGUUAACUGUUAGUGUUAUAUCCGACGGGAGAGAUCUGUCCAAGGGGCAAAGUGGAAAUGACUGUGGCAUUAUGCAAGGCUCAUGUUGCAUAGAGCUUUCCAGUUAAAGUUUCAGACGAGUUGUCUCUGAGUGCUUCCUGAAAAACCACAGGCUCUCAUCUUCACAGAGUCUCUGCAAAGAUUUUGGAAAUCUUUUUUCAUCUUCCCCAGUGCUGCACAGUCUGCCCACCUCCUCUCACAUUUCCCUGACUUGGUAACACAUGUCCUCACCCAGCACACACCCUCUGUGUGCAAGGACACCCCCUUCACCAGCCCUAGCCUCAGGGAGAGGAAUCAGGCUCUGCUUGCAGCCCCAGCUUCAGGGAGCAGCCUCCUCCCUCUGGAGAGCUGCCCCAGUGUAGGUCUCCACUAUCCUCCACCCUAGAUCCUUUUUCACAAGCCUAAGAGCCACCAGAAAGCUUACUGCAUAGGACACAUUUGAGGAAAAACUUCUUUACUGUGAGGGUAACUGAGCACUGGAACAGGUUGCCCAGAGAGGUAGUGGA